UUCAUACUCCCUCCGUCCUAAAAAAUUUAUCUUAGAUUUGUCUAAAUAUAAAUGUAUCUAGUCAUGUUUUAGUAUUUAGGUACAGUCAUUUUUAGACAAACUUAAGACAAUAAUUUUAGGACGGAGGGAGUAUUAA
rnacentral:pre_miRNA from 1 species